rnacentral:rRNA from 1 species
UUUAUUGAGAGUUUGAUCCUGGCUCAGGACGAACGCUGGCGGCGUGCCUAACACAUGCAAGUCGAGCGAUGAAAUUUCCUUCGGGAAAUGGAUUAGCGGCGGACGGGUGAGUAACACGUGGGUAACCUGCCUUGUAGAGGGGAAUAGCCUUCCGAAAGGAAGAUUAAUACCGCAUAAUAUUGUA